rnacentral:rRNA from 1 species
AUUGAACGCUGGCGGCAGGCCUAACACAUGCAAGUCGAACGGUAACAGGAAACAGCUUGCUGUUUCGCUGACGAGUGGCGGACGGGUGAGUAAUGUCUGGGAAACUGCCUGAUGGAGGGGGAUAACUACUGGAAACGGUAGCUAAUACCGCAUAACGUCGCAAGACCAAAGAGGGGGACCUUCGGGCCUCUUGCCAUCGGAUGUGCCCAGAUGGAAUUAGCUAGUAGGUGGGGUAACGGCUCACCUAGGCGACGAUCCCUAGCUGGUCUGAGAGGAUGACCAGCCACACUGGAACUGAGACACGGUCCAGACUCCUACGGGAGGCAGCAGUGGGGAAUAUUGCACAAUGGGCGCAAGCCUGAUGCAGCCAUGCCGCGUGUAUGAAGAAGGCCUUCGGGUUGUAAAGUACUUUCAGCGGGGAGGAAGGGAGUAAAGUUAAUACCUUUGCUCAUUGACGUUACCCGCAGAAGAAGCACCGGCUAACUCCGUG